GACGAACCGUGCGACCGUUGUUCGGAAUCACUGGGCUUAAAGGGCGCGUAGGCGGGCUGCCAAGUCUGGGGUGAAAUCCCACGGCUCAACCGUGGAACUGCCUCGGAUACUGGCGGCCUCGAGGGAGGUAGGGGCGUGCGGAACUGUGGGUGGAGCGGUGAAAUGCGUUGAUAUCCACAGGAACUCCGGUGGCGAAGGCGGCACGCUGGACCUUUUCUGACGCUGAGGCGCGAAAGCCAGGGGAGCAAACGGG
rnacentral:rRNA from 1 species